rnacentral:rRNA from 1 species
CACGUAGGGCGCAAGCGUUGUCCGGAAUUAUUGGGCGUAAAGAGCUCGUAGGCGGUCUGUUGCGUCCGCUGUGAAAACUCGGGGCUUAACCCCGAGCCUGCAGUGGAUACGGGCAGACUAGAGGUAGGUAGGGGAGAACGGAAUUCCCAGUGUAGCGGUGAAAUGCGCAGAUAUUGGGAAGAACACCAGUGGCGAAGGCGGUUCUCUGGGACGGUACUGACGCUGAGACGCGAAAGCGUGGGGAGCGAACAGG